CCCUCCAUAAGUAUUUUUAGAGCAGUGUUCAGUGGUGCUAAAUUAACCACAGGACUCUGCGUCACCACCUGCCUCUCCCAGAACAGUCGGUGUGUAAGACAGAGGUGCUAGGACAUCUGUGAAGUGAUGGCCCACUUCCCUGCCUUCUGGGUCUCCGGCAACCUCGUCCUUCUGCCGCAGGAGUGUUUCACCGCGCACAGAGAUGUCAAGGCUGAUCCGCCACGCAGCGUGCGUCCGACCACACACCCCUCCAAGGCUGAGUGACGCCGCGAGGCAUCGACCGGUCGACAGUAAAAGGUACGCGGAAACACAACGGAUUUGGAGAAUCCAGGACCAGAGGAAACAGGCAAGCCAAACCUUUCUAAACCCAAGAAUGUGAUGGUGCUGUCCCAGGGUACAGAAAGACGUGAACAAAUGAAGCAGACCCAAGAGUCCGAUGUGAGCCCUGGUGAGUCCAUGGGCUCUGAGAACAUCCCAAUAAUCCAAUAUGGGGAUCAUCGAGCUUCAACACACAACGCUGGGAUAGCCAGAUGCCCACAGACAAGACAAAGAAGCUAGAUCAUUUCUCACAGAACUUACCAAGAUUAGCUCAAAGGCUGGGGGACCGACAGCGUGGUGGGUAAGCAAGCACAAAGACUUGCAUUUGAAACCCUAGCAGCCACGUUAAAAAAAAAAAAAGGCAGACAUGGUAUGAUUCUAUUAUAUGAAACAUCCAGAUUAGCAAAUCGAAAGAGAGAAAACAGACCCGAGGUUGCUGUGGCCCAGGCGGCCAAUGGAUAUGGCUAGCUGGCAUGGGGUUUCUCUUCGGGGAGGUGUGAAGUUUUGGAAUCAGACACAGCCACACAGUUGCAGGCAUGGACCGCGUACCAUGGAAGUAUUCUCACGCUGCAUGGAUUAUCUCCCACGGAGGUCCACUGGCCCCAUCUCCCAGGUUACCUGAACUAAGCUAACCUCAGGAAAUGCUUUUUCUAUUCUGCAGAGCCUUCUGACUAUCCCCCCGACCUCAGGACAACGGGCAUGGUGCCCAUAUGUGCUUUCUGCUGAUAGAGACGAGGCAGCCACACUGAACCAGCACUGUGUGGGUUGAUAGCCAGGGCAGGAGGCAGAGGGGAUCAGCCACUGGGGAGAAGAGGUCCUGGGGUGGAGAGCUGAGAGUCCCUGGGAUUAAUAUAUGAGAUCAUCAAGGCAUAAGGAAAGGCAACAGUCCCUUGAAUCUGCCCUAAUGUGAGACACGGCCCGGGGAGGACCAGAAACUUGGCUUGCUGAUGAGUUACUGAGUUCGGCUCCCCUCCUGGUGUCCUGUGGAAACGACUCCAAACUGCAACCUGGCGGGGCGAGGGGAACCUGCGCAAUUCGGAGCACCUCCCACGGGACCCACAUUUUGGAAAAGGGACACUUAAGGGAGAAGCUGGUCUGCUCAGCUUCUCUGACACUGUGCGCUCCCAACAGGCAGCAGGAGAGAAGAAGAGCUACAGGUUGGAUUACUCAGAAGUUUCCGAACACCCAGAUAAAACAACUCCACCAGGAACCUGAGCUCCUGGUGACUGCACUCUGGGGCCACAGGUAUUUCUGCCAAGCCAGGUCCUCUCUGUAAGCCUUGCCUUCCAAAUGGCCUAUGAAAGGGGCACCUGACCCACCCAGGUGCUCUUGGGCGAGACAAAAGGAUUGCUUAAAGGAGUGAGAGUGGAGACAACUGGAAUGUUCUCUGAAGUUCCAGCCUCUGAUU